rnacentral:rRNA from 1 species
CGAACGGUCCUUCGGGACAGUGGCGGACGGGUGAGUAACACGUGGGAACGUGCCCUUUGGUUCGGAAUAGCUCCGGGAAACUGGAAUUAAUACCGGAUGUGCCCUUCGGGGAAAGAUUUAUCGCCAUAGGAGCGGCCCGCGUCUGAUUAGCUAGUUGGUGGGGUAAAGGCCCACCAAGGCUACGAUCAGUAGCUGGUCUGAGAGGAUGAUCAGCCACAUUGGGACUGAGACACGGCCCAA